rnacentral:rRNA from 1 species
UACGUAGGGGGCUAGCGUUGUCCGGAAUCAUUGGGCGUAAAGCGCGUGUAGGCGGUCCGGUAAGUCCGCUGUGAAAGUCGGGGGCUCAACCCUCGAAUGCCGGUGGAUACUGUCGGGCUAGAGUACGGAAGAGGCGAGUGGAAUUCCUGGUGUAGCGGUGAAAUGCGCAGAUAUCAGGAGGAACACCAAUGCGAAGGCAGCUCGCUGGGACGUUACUGACGCUGGAGACGCGAAAGCGUGGGGAGCAAACAGG